CAAGAUUCUGUGAUGCAGAUGGAGUUAUGGAAAUUGUAGAAGGAGCAAUGGUUCUUGGGUUGGGCAGAAGCAGCUUGCUGGUGCCUAAGGAAGGUUUAAUGGACCAUUUUUCCAGAGCAAUCUGUUGCUCAUGAAGUUAGGUUAGCCUAAUAGCAUCCUCCAGCUUAGUGGGUUUAUAAAUCAAAACAACGGUUUUGAUAUCGAAUCUGAGGCCUGAGACAAAACAAUGAACCAAAAAUAGUGGUGGCAAAUACAUGGUCCUAUUGAUAAUGGUUUCAAAUCGAG
rnacentral:lncRNA from 1 species